AUAGGUGGUAGACUAUGAAACCCGGGCGCCAGCUCGGGUGGAGUCUCCCUUGAAAUACCACCCUUAUCGUUAUGGAUGUCUAACCGCGGCCCGUCAUCCGGGUCCGGGACAAUGUAUGGUGGGUAGUUUGACUGGGGCGGUCGCCUCCCAAAGAGUAACGGAGGCGCGCGAUGGUGGGCUCAGAACGGUCGGAAAUCGUUCGCUGAGUGCAAUGGCAUAAGCCUGCCUGACUGCGAGACUGACAAGUCGAGCAGAGACGAAAGUCGGCCAUAGUGAUCCGGUGGUCCUGCGUGGAAGGGCCAUCGCUCAACGAAUAAAAGGUACGCCGGGGAUAACAGGCU
rnacentral:rRNA from 1 species